UCACUUUUUUUUUUUUUAGGUAAGUUUAGUCUAUUAAAUUACACAAAUAGUACAUUAAAGUGUUCCUGACACUUUAUUUCAUGUAAAUUAUACACUUUCGUUUAAUAUUUACUUUAUAGAAAUGGUUUAGCGUCGUCAGAAAAAGUCCUUUAGCAUCUCAAAGAAGUGCCAGAAAACCUCUAUGACGCAGGAGAAGUUCCUGAUUUUAACAUUUCUGAAGGGAGCUGCUGACAGAGAGGAUGAAAACAUACACAUUUUGAUGUCCACGCUGUAGGAGCAUUACUAAAUAAGUUCUUCCAUGCUGAUGGCUGUGCUCUAGUCAUAUCUCCUGUCGAAGAACAUUUUUAGACAUUAUGAACCAUGAAUAAGUUUAGCUCCAACCCCAGUUAAGCAGACCUGAGCAGCUGAUCAAGGAUCAGCAGAAACUCUGCAGAACGGUGGUCCUCCAGCCCAGGACUGGACACCAGUGUUGUAAGUCAUUCUGUCUCUUUAUAGUGCAUGUUCAGGACAUAUUGCAGGAGAUCUCAACAUUGUCUCUCAAGGUCCACUUACAUGCAGAGUUUUGCUCCAACCUGCAGUGCACCUGAACACAUUAAUCGAGGUCUAGCUAUUAGUGUUGUCACAGUACCAAUUUCAGUACAAAAGCAAAACACAAAAACAUGC